rnacentral:rRNA from 1 species
UACGUAGGGGGCUAGCGUUGUCCGGAUUUAUUGGGCGUAAAGAGCGUGUAGGCGGCCAGGUAGGUCUGCUGUGAAAACUCGAGGCUCAACCUCGAGACGUCGGCGGAAACCAUCUGGCUAGAGUCCGGAAGAGGAGAGUGGAAUUCCUGGUGUAGUGGUGAAAUGCGUAGAUAUCGGGAGGAACACCAGUGGCGAAGGCGACUUCCUGGCCUGUUCUUGACGCUGAGGCGCGAAAGCUAGGGGAGCAAACGGG